rnacentral:rRNA from 1 species
UUUAAAGAGAGUUUGAUCCUGGCUCAGGACGAACGCUGGCGGCGUGCCUAAUACAUGCAAGUCGAACGAACGGAGGAAGAGCUUGCUCUUCCAAAGUUAGUGGCGGACGGGUGAGUAACACGUGGGCAAUCUGCCUGUAAGUUGGGGAUAACUCCGGGAAACCGGGGCUAAUACCGAAUGAUAGA